UCGUGGAGCAGCUCGGCAAUCCUUGAAUCAAAACCUCCCCCCAUAAAUCACUGCUUACAAUACAUCCUAGUCUACACAGGGCCUAAGAAAUUAUUUACACAUUCUAGUCUAAGCAGGGCCUAAGGAAAAUUAUUUAUACAUCCUAGUCUAAACAGGGCCUAAAAAAAUAUUUUCAUUAAAAGCUUAUAAUUCACACCCAACUGCUGCCGAAAAGUUUACCUAAGCAACGAAAUAAAGGCUUUUUUCAAGUCGAGAGACGUAUCAAAAAUACGAAAAGCCAAACAAAAAAAGUAUUAAAAAGUAUCAAAAUAUUUGAAGAAAAGAAAAUAAGAGGAUUUUAAAGAUGAAUAACAAUUUAAUGGACAUAGCCUUUUGUAGAAAUUUUGACAGCGGACAAUGGACAAAUCCAAGAUUUUGGAUGAGAAGACAAAAUAAUUUCGGACAAAUUUAUUUGCCAGCAUUGCUUCCUGUUGAAGGUGAAGACAGGCCACUAAAUGUUCCAGGAACGUUUGUCUUC